rnacentral:rRNA from 1 species
GAUGAACGCUGGCGGCGUGCCUAAUACAUGCAAGUCGAGCGAACAGACGAGGAGCUUGCUCCUCUGACGUUAGCGGCGGACGGGUGAGUAACACGUGGAUAACCUACCUAUAAGACUGGGAUAACUUCGGGAAACCGGAUCUAGUACCGGAUAAUAUAUUGAACCGCAUGGUUCAAUAGUGAAAGACGGUUUUGCUGUCCCUUAUAGAUGGAUCCGCGCCGGAUUAGCUAGUUGGUAAGGUAACGGCUUACCAAGGCGACGAUGCGUAGCCGACCUGAGAGGGUGAUCGGCCACACUGGAACUGAGACACGGUCCAGACUCCUACGGGAGGCAGCAGUAGGGAAUCUUCCGCAAUGGGCGAAAGCCUGACGGAGCAACGCCGCGUGAGUGAUGAAGGUCUUCGGAUCGUAAAACUCUGUUAGUAGGGAAGAACAAAUGUGUAAGUAACUAUGCACGUCUUGACGGUACCUAAUCAGAAAGCCACGGCUAACUACGUG